UGCAGGAGAAAAGGCCCGCCCCCUAUUGGGGUGUGUAAAUUGCUUUUUUACCGGAGCAAUAAAAGUUCUAGGCGUAGGCCUGAUUGAAGGUACCGUAAGAAUAAGCAUUCGCUAACUCCCGUGCAAGCAGCCGCGGUAAUACGGGAGGAAUGCGAGGCGUUAUUCCGGGAUUUAUGGGGUUUAAAGGGGGCUAGGCGGCUUUUAAAGUCAGCGGUGAAAUUUUGGCAGGCUUAAACUAACAGUGCCCGUUGAUACUUGGGGAAGCUAGGAUUUGGUUGCUGUGGGUGGAAAUGUGUGGUGGUAGCCGGUGAAAAUGCUUUAGAGAUCACACAGAAUAUCGAUUGCGAAAGGCAGCUCACAAAGCCAAGAUUGACGCUGAGGCACGAAAGUGUGGGGAUCAAACAGGAUUAGAUACCCUGGUAGUCCACACUGUAAACGAUGAUAACUCGCUGUCGGCGAUACACAGUCGGUGGCCAAGCGAAAGCGAUAAGUUAUCCACCUGGGGAGUACGACCGCAAGGUUGAAACUCAAAGGAAUUGACGGGGGCCCGCACAAGCGGAGGAACAUGUGGUUUAAUUCGAUGAUACGCGAGGAACCUUACCCGGGCUCGAACGGUGCAUGAAUGGACAAGAGAUUGUUCAGACCUUAGGGACAUGUAUCGAGGUGCUGCAUGGUUGUCGUCAGCUCGUGCCGUGAGGUGUCGGCUUAAGUGCCAUAACGCGCAACCCUUGUCAUUAGUUACCAUCAGGUAGAGCUGGGGACUCUAAUGAGACUGCCACCGUAAGGUGAGAGGAAGGGGGGGAUGACGUCAAAUCAGCACGGCCCUUAUGUCCGGGGCGACACACGUGUUACAAUGGGGGGUACAGAGGGCAGCCAUCCGGCGACGGAGCGCCAAUCUCUAAAAGCCGCCUCAGUUCGGACUGGAGUCUGCAACUCGACUCCAUGAAGUUGGACUCGCUAGUAAUCCGCAUCAGCCAUGGCGCGGUGAAUACGUUCCCGGGCCUUGUACACACCGCCCAAGCCAUGGAAGCCGGGGGUACCUGAAGUUCGUAACCGUUAAAGGAGCGACCUAGGGUAAAACUGUUGGGCUAAGUCGUAACAAGGUAACC
rnacentral:rRNA from 1 species